rnacentral:rRNA from 1 species
AGUGAACGCUGGCGGUAGGCCUAACACAUGCAAGUCGAACGGCAGCACAGUAAGAGCUUGCUCUUACGGGUGGCGAGUGGCGGACGGGUGAGGAAUACAUCGGAAUCUACUUUUUCGUGGGGGAUAACGUAGGGAAACUUACGCUAAUACCGCAUACGACCUACGGGUGAAAGCAGGGGAUCUUCGGACCUUGCGCGAUUGAAUGAGCCGAUGUCGGAUUAGCUAGUUGGCGGGGUAAAGGCCCACCAAGGCGACGAUCCGUAGCUGGUCUGAGAGGAUGAUCAGCCACACUGGAACUGAGACACGGUCCAGACUCCUACGGGAGGCAGCAGUGGGGAAUGUUGGACAAUGGGCGCAAGCCUGAUCCAGCCAUACCGCGUGGGUGAAGAAGGCCUUCGGGUUGUAAAGCCCUUUUGUUGGGAAAGAAAAGCAGCAGGUUAAUACCCCGCUGUUCUGACGGUACCCAAAGAAUAAGCACCGGCUAACUUCGCG